rnacentral:rRNA from 1 species
UAACACAUGCAAGUCGAACGCGAAAGCCCGCAAGGGUAAGUAGAGUGGCGCACGGGUGAGUAACACGUGGACAACCUGCCUUCGAGUGGGGAAUAACCUUCCGAAAGGAGGGCUAAUACCGCAUAACACCUCGGGACACAAGUUCUGGGGUUGAAAAGAGCAAUUUGCUCGAAGAGGGGUCCGCGCCUGAUUAGCUAGUUGGUGAGGUAACGGCUCACCAAGGCUUCGAUCAGUAGCCGUCCUGAGAGGGAGCACGGCCACACUGGAACUGAGACACGGUCCAGACUCCUACGGGAGGCAGCAGUGGGGAAUUUUUGGCAAUGGGCGAAAGCCUGACCAAGCAACGCCGCGUGGGUGAUGAAGUAUCUUGGUACGUAAAACCCUUUCGGCAGGGACGAACCUAAUGACGGUACCUGCGGAAGAAGCCCCGGCUAACUCCGUGCCAGCAGCCGCGGUAAUACGGGGGGGGCAAGCGUUGUUCGGAAUUACUGGGCGUAAAGGGCGCGUAGGCGGUUGGAUAAGUCAGCUGUGAAAACCACGGGCUUAACUCGUGGCCUGCAGUUGAGACUGUCUGGCUUGAGUGUGGGAGAGGAGAGUG